rnacentral:misc_RNA from 1 species
CGACCCUCCAGCUCCGCUGGGUGUUGGGGAUCUACGGAGACGUAGGCCCUGAAAAAUAGUGGCGGGCUCGCACAUACCCGGACGUAGUAAUGCUGUCGUCUAGGGGCUGUCGCGGGUGCUAGCCGUGAAACUGACGCAAGUCACUUUUCAGAA